CGUAGCAUACGGGGAAGGCGGCGAAAGGGAGAGUAAUGCAUGGAUAUCUACCCUCGGGUCUGGGAUAGCUGCGGGAAACUGCAGGUAAUACCAGAUGACAUCUCCGGAUCAAAGGUGUGAUUCCGCCCGAGGAGGAGUCCAUGUCCUAUUAGCUAGUUGGUGAGGUAACGGCUCACCAAGGCAAAGAUGGGGACGAGGUGUGAGAGCACGACCUCGCUCACUGGGACUGAGACACUGCCCAGACACCUACGGGUGGCUGCAGUCGAGAAUCUUCGGCAAUGGGCGCAAGCCUGACCGAGCGACGCCGCGUGCGGGAUGAAGGCCUUCGGGUUGUAAACCGCUGUCAGUGGGGAGGAAAUUCCAUGGGGUAAUCUCUAUGGAUUGACCUAUCCGCAGAGGAAGGAUGGGCUAAG
rnacentral:rRNA from 1 species